UACGAAGGGGGCUAGCGUUGCUCGGAAUCACUGGGCGUAAAGGGUGCGUAGGCGGGUCUUUAAGUCAGGGGUGAAAUCCUGGAGCUCAACUCCAGAACUGCCUUUGAUACUGAAGAUCUUGAGUUCGGGAGAGGUGAGUGGAACUGCGAGUGUAGAGGUGAAAUUCGUAGAUAUUCGCAAGAACACCAGUGGCGAAGGCGGCUCACUGGCCCGGUACUGACGCUGAGGUGCAAAAGCGUGGGG
rnacentral:rRNA from 1 species